UGACCUACGGGGGGCAGCAGUGAGGAAUAUUGGUCAAUGGUCGGGAGACUGAACCAGCCAAGCCGCGUGAGGGAGGAAGGUACAGAGUAUCGUAAACCUCUUUUGUCAGGGAACAAAGGCGGGGACGUGUCCCCGGAUGAGUGUACCUGAAGAAAAAGCAUCGGCUAACUCCGUGCCAGCAGCCGCGGUAAUACGUAGGGGGCAAGCGUUAUCCGGAUUUACUGGGUGUAAAGGGGGCGCAGACGGCGAUGCAAGCCAGGAGUGAAAGCCCGGGGCCCAACCCCGGGAAUGCUCU
rnacentral:rRNA from 1 species